AAUGAACGCUGGCGGCAGGCCUAACACAUGCAAGUCGAGCGGAGCGGCGGACGGGUGAGUAAUGCCUAGGAAUCUGCCUUGUAGUGGGGGAUAACGUCCGGAAACGGGCGCUAAUACCGCAUCCUAUCAGAUGGGACUAGGUCGGAUUAGCUCGUGGGGGGGGGAAAGGCUUACCACGGCGACGAACCGUAACUGGUCUGGGAGGAGGAUCAGUCAAACUGGAACUGAGACACGUUCCAGACUCCUACGGGAGGAAGCAGUGGGGAAUAUUGGACAAUGGGCGAAAGUCUGAUCCAGCGAUGCCGCGGGUGUGAAGAAGGUCUUCGGAUUGUAAAGCACUGUCAGUUGGGAGGCGUUACCAACAGAAUAAGCACCGGCUAACUUCGUGCCAGCAGCCGCGGUAAUAC
rnacentral:rRNA from 1 species